UCGCAAGAGGGAUCUAUGGUUAGUGGCGCACGGGUGAGUAACGCGUAGGUAAUCUGCCUUCAGGGCCGGAACAACCAUUGGAAACGAUGGCUAAUGCCGGAUAAGACCACGUAUAGCAAUGUAUGGGGUAAAAGGAGUAAUUCACCUGGAGAUGAGCCUGCGUCCUAUCAGGUAGUUGGUAAGGUAAUGGCUUACCAAGCCUAAGACGGGUAGCCGGUCUGAGAGGAUGAACGGCCACACUGGAACUGAGACACGGUCCAGACUCCUACGGGAGGCAGCAGUGAGGAAUUUUGCGCAAUGGGGGAAACCCUGACGCAGCGACGCCGCGUGGAGGAAGAAGGCCUUCGGGUUGUAGACUCCUUUUGUAGGGAAAGAUGAUGACGGUACCUUACGAAUAAGCCACGGCUAACUCUGUGCCAGCAGCCGCGGUAAGACAGAGGUGGCAAGCGUUGCUCGGAAUUACUGGGCUUAAAGGGUGCGUAGGCGGUUAGAUAAG
rnacentral:rRNA from 1 species